rnacentral:rRNA from 1 species
UGGGGAAUUUUGGACAAUGGGCGAAAGCCUGAUCCAGCAAUGCCGCGUGUGUGAAGAAGGCCUUCGGGUUGUAAAGCACUUUUGUCCGGAAAGAAAUCCUUGGCUCUAAUACAGUCGGGGGAUGACGGUACCGGAAGAAUAAGCACCGGCUAACUACGUGCCAGCAGCCGCGGUAAUACGUAGGGUGCAAGCGUUAAUCGGAAUUACUGGGCGUAAAGCGUGCGCAGGCGGUUUGCUAAGACCGAUGUGAAAUCCCCGGGCUCAACCUGGGAACUGCAUUGGUGACUGGCAGGCUAGAGUAUGGCAGAGGGGGGUAGAAUUCCACGUGUAGCAGUGAAAUGCGUAGAGAUGUGGAGGAAUACCGAUGGCGAAGGCAGCCCCCUGGGCCAAUACUGACGCUCAUGCACGAAAGCGUGGGGAGCAAACAGGAUUAGAUACCCUGGUAGUCCACGCCCUAAACGAUGUCAACUGGUUGUUGGGGAUUCAUUCCUUAGUAACGUAGCUAACGCGUGAAGUUGACCGCCUGGGGAGUACGGUCGCAAGAUUAAAACUUAAAUGAAUUGACGGGGUCAUAGCUGUUUCCU